GCUCCUUUCUCUCUCCUGCCUCUCAAAAAGAUGCUAUUCCUGUGAUUAAAACCAUUACAGUGCUUCAAAGGUUAUACAUGACUUUCAGGCUUCAACCUCAAUAGAAGCAGGAUAUGAGGGGCCAUUGAAACCCAUCUGGGUCUCUACUUUGCAUAUCACCCUGAGGAAGUGAGCCACCACUGAGUCUAGCUGGCGAGUAGAAUCUUGCUCCCUGCUGACCUGCUUCCCUGCCACUUGGACCUGCCUAGUGCCAGUUCCUGGAUUCUCUUUAGCCUUGCUUCACCUGCCUGUUAUGAUAUGCUACCUCUUGCUAGUCUACUCUCAUGUGUCCUAGCUGGGUUCACCAUCUGUUGCUCAUUACUGUACUCUCUGGACCUGCUGUCUGCCUCCAUGCAUGUGCACAUUGGCAACUGAAUCCAGAUCUGCCUCUGCAUCUCUACCACCUGCUUCAGCCCUGUGGGAUAUCUUGUUCCAGCUUUCUUCUGAAACUGCCUUACCCUACCUUUUCAGUCUAAUAAGUUUUGAUGAGAUCUUUUAAAUAAUAUGUCAAACCCAUUUCUGUCUCCUUAAACAGUAAACAUAAUGUAAUUGAAAGAGAAAAAAAAUGUUUUCUUAAAGAUGCAGAGGCUGGUGUUGUAAUAUUUUUUUUUUAUCCAGUGGCUAUUGAAAUAUGUUGGAUUUCAAUAAAUGGUCCCAAAUUUUUAGGUUUUGAAGAUAUAUGUGUUGUUAAUAAGGAAGUGUGUGUGUGUGUGUUUGUGCACAAAAUAAGUAUAUAAGCCAUCAAUUUUGCUGUUUCUGGAUUGCCAUGACCUGGAAAACCAAGUUUGUUGAAGUAUUUAUAAUGUAAGAAAAAAAGACUGUUGAUGAACUACUUUUUAAUAAGUUGCUCAAUUAUACAGAAUUCUUUUUUGUUGGCUUCAGUUGUUUAAAGGAUUUUUACACACUAUCAAGUUCCUGGUUACAUUGUGGAUAACUGAUAAUCCUGAGCAAAUGAUACAUUAAUCACUGUAUGCCAGUUUUCCCUGCUCUUUCACCUUCAUUUAUCUUUGAUCUACAAGUGUUUGUUUGUUCCCUGACUGCAAAGAUAUUUUAGCAUGCGUGAAUUGGUAGGAAAAUACACUGUCACACAGACAUUAUUUUACUUCUGCUAAGGCAAACUGUCAAUUGAACAUUUUGUUUAAGUUUCUGUCAUGAGUAAGAUGUUAUUUAAGUGUUACGUGGAUAAAAUUAUGAGAAUAACUUGGUCUUUGUUCACAACCAGUUGACAAUCUAGUAAAUGGAGAAUGCCAGUGGAUAAGAACCUGCAAAAACGCCUUCAGAAUUCAGUUCUAAGAAAGGUCUUAGUUAUUGAGGGAAAUGUAGGAGCCAAAGCAUGGUAUUUGGGAACAUGUAGGAUGUGUUUUAGUAAGCAGCAAAUAUUCUAAUUUGGUUUAGUUCUAGAAAAAAGAAUACUGUGGGAAGAUAUUUUUAAAAAGUGAGUUUAAUUUAAUAGUCAAUGAAGGGCUACUGAAUAGAUCAGUGAAAUGAUCAGAGCUGAGAUUUAGACUUAAAUCUCAGCGUUUCAGAGCUUUAGAUUUAAAUCUGGCAAGUGUAGAGUUGGAGCAAACAAACCAUACAAUUUGGUUUGGACCAAAUGUAUAUUGGAUGAGAUAGUGAAUAAGAGAAAGAGUAUAGUACUAGACACCCAAAUACAAAGGCUGGCACUAUCACUGACUAUAUGACAUGAAUAACUUAAUUUGCAUAAAAUAGCUAUUACAGAUACUAUCCAUAAGCUUCUGUUCUUGAAAGAGGGCAUAGAGUUUAUGUGUAUGUACUACGUCCAAGUAGAUAUUAUCAUAUAUCUAGUGGUCUCCAUGUAACAUAACAGGAUAUGGUGGCAAACACUACAGGCUCUGAAGCCAGACUUCCUGUGUUCAAGUCUAGGCUCUUUCAUUUACUUAAUGUAUAAUCUAGGGCAGUUUAUUUAACCUCUUUUUGCUUUGGUUUCCCUAUCUGUAAAAGGCAGAUAAUAGCACCUAGUGCUAUUAUCCGAGAAUUGUCAUGAGGUUAAUGAAUUAAUAUUUGUAAAGCCCUUAGAAGAGUGCCCGGCACAUGGUAAUGAUUCAAUAAAGAAGAUUAUUAUUAAUUACAGUAAAUAAAAUUAUUACAAUUUUAAAUGUAUCACAAUUAUUCAUAUCACAAUUUUAAGUAUAAUCUUUAACACGUAAGUAGGUAAAACUUCUGAUUUAAUAGCCCAGGGAGUCAGUACUAAUCCUGUUACUAUUUACCAACUUUGUGAAUGUAGUACACUCAGAUUGAUGAAACCAACUCUGUGUUCCAGUGUCAGAGUCCAGCAAGUGAAUUCAUCAUAUUUUUCAAGGCAGUUCAUGGGGUUAUAAAUACUAAGUGAAUAGGAGCAUAAUUAAUUCUUUGGGAAGAACUUGGAGCAUAUCAAGUUUUAAUGUUUAAAAUGUUUAAAAGACUGAUUGUUAGUGCUUUGGGAAUGGAGUAAGCAUAUAACAGAAGUAAGUAAAUAUUUUUCUCAGUGUUGUACUCAUUCAACCAGGAGAGCUUGAAUUAUUAUUAUUGUGAAAAUAAUCCAUAAACACUUUAUGUCAUUUAUUUUAAUAAAUCAUUAAAAUUUAAAAUUACCUGUUUUUUUAAUUAUAAAAUUCAUCAAACAAAAAACUAUAAAGCAUAAUACAAUAAAUAUUUUACUCAUUACUUAAUUUUAGCAAAUCUGACAAUGUUGACAGAUAGGCUUCAAAUUUUAAAACAAAAAUUUACAAAUGCAUUGGAAGCCCUUGUGUAUCCCAAUCUGAUUCCAUCACAAUCUAUCUCCAUACCUGCAUUGCUCCCUUGCCAGGGGAAACCAUGAUUCUGAUGUGAAUUUUUACAUUCCCAUUCAUUCCCUUGAUUUUAUGUCUGUACUAAGAUGGAUGCAUCCACAAAAAAUGUACUACCUGUUGUAUUUUUUAAACAUUAUAUGAAUGGCAUACAAAUGUCUCAAAACUAUUUUUUCAUUAUUUUUCUGUUUAGUAAAUUGUAUUGGUUUAUAGUAUACAUAAAAUAAUACAAUCAUUGUAUGUAUACAACUUAAGGGAUUUUACACAUGAAUAUGCCUGUGUAAACAGCACUCCAUUCAAGAUAGAGAACACUUUCAUCAUUCCCAAAAUGUUCCCUUUGGUCGACUAAAUUCAGUUCCCCACUUACACCAUACCCCAAGUAGUCAUCAUUUAUUCAAUUUCUAUCACUAUGGAUUAGUUUGAACUAUUCCAGAACUUCAUAGAAUGGAUUCUUACAGUAGGUACUCUUUUGUGUCUGUCUUCUUUCACUCAGCGUAUGUUUUUGAGAAUUCUCCCUGCUCUUGUGUGUAUUAGUAGUUUAUUCCUAUUUUAUUGCCAAUUUGUAUUUCAUUGCUCAAAUAGACCACAACUUGUUUAUCCACUCCUGUUGAUUGUCA
rnacentral:lncRNA from 10 species